rnacentral:rRNA from 1 species
CAAUAGCGUAUAUUUAAGUUGUUGCAGUUAAAAAGCUCGUAGUUGGAUUUCGGGUGGGACGCAGCGGUCUCGCAUUGCGUUUGUACUGCUGCAGCCCUCCUUCUUGCCGGGGGCGGCCUCUCGGACUUCACUGUCUGGGGGUCAGAAUCGGCGAUGUUACUUUGAGUAAAUUAGAGUGUUCAAAGCAAGCUUACGCUCUGAAUAUAAUAGCAUGGGAUAACACGACAGGACUCUGGCCUAUCGUGUUGGUCUAUAGGACCAGAGUAAUGAUUAAGAGGGACAGUCGGGGGCAUUCGUAUUCCGUUGUCAGAGGUGAAAUUCUUGGAUUUACGGAAGACGAACCUCUGCGAAAGCAUUUGCCAAGGAUGUUUUCAUUGA